GCCAUGCAUGUCUCAGUACAAGCCGCAUUAAGGCGAAACCGCGAAUGGCUCAUUAAAUCAGUUAUGGUUCCUUAGAUCUUACACCACUUACAUGGAUAACUGUGGUAAUUCUAGAGCUAAUACAUGAAACCAGACCCCGACUUUGCGGAAGGGGUGCUUUUAUUAGAACAAAACCAAUCGGGGGGCUCGUCCCUCCGUUGCCUUGGUGACUCUGAAUAACUUUGAGCUGAUCGCACGGUCCCAGCACCGGCGACGCAUCUUUCAAAUGUCUGCCUUAUCAACUGUCGAUGGUAGGUUCUGCGCCUACCAUGGUUGUAACGGGUGACGGGGAAUCAGGGUUCGAUUCCGGAGAGGGAGCCUGAGAAACGGCUACCACAUCCAAGGAAGGCAGCAGGCGCGCAAAUUACCCACUCCCGGCACGGGGAGGUAGUGACGAAAAAUAACGAUACGGGACUCAUCCGAGGCCCCGUAAUCGGAAUGAGAACACUUUAAAUCCUUUAACGAGGAUCUAUUGGAGGGCAAGUCUGGUGCCAGCAGCCGCGGUAAUUCCAGCUCCAAUAGCGUAUAUUAAAGUUGUUGCGGUUAAAAAGCUCGUAGUCGGAGGUGUGUCUCGGACGGUCGGUUCGCCGCUUGUCGGUGCUCAACUGGCCGGUCCGGACGUCCUGCCGGUGGGGCUGUAAAAGGCUCCGGUUAUCCUUCUUUGGUCCUCUUCAUUGAGUGCCUUGGUGGGCCGGCACGUUUACUUUGAACAAAUUAGAGUGCUCAAAGCAGGCCGUUGGUCGCCUGAAUACUGUGUGCAUGGAAUAAUAGAAUAGGACCUCGGUUCCAUUUUGUUGGUUUUCAGAACUCGAGGUAAUGAUUAAUAGGGACGGACGGGGGCAUUCGUAUUGCGACGUUAGAGGUGAA
rnacentral:rRNA from 1 species